rnacentral:rRNA from 1 species
AUUGAACGCUGGCGGCAGGCCUAACACAUGCAAGUCGAACGGUAACAGGAAACAGCUUGCUGUUUCGCUGACGAGUGGCGGACGGGUGAGUAAUGUCUGGGAAACUGCCUGAUGGAGGGGGAUAACUACUGGAAACGGUAGCUAAUACCGCAUAGCGUCGCAAGACCAAAGAGGGGGACCUUCGGGCCUCUUGCCAUCGGAUGUGCCCAGAUGGGAUUAGCUAGUAGGUGGGGUAACGGCUCACCUAGGCGACGAUCCCUAGCUGGUCUGAGAGGAUGACCAGCCACACUGGAACUGAGACACGGUCCAGACUCCUACGGGAGGCAGCAGUGGGGAAUAUUGCACAAUGGGCGCAAGCCUGAUGCAGCCAUGCCGCGUGUAUGAAGAAGGCCUUCGGGUUGUAAAGUACUUUCAGCGGGGAGGAAGGGAGUAAAGUUAAUACCUUUGCUCAUUGACGUUACCCGCAGAAGAAGCACCGGCUAACUCCGUG